rnacentral:rRNA from 1 species
UACGUGGGCGCAAGCGUUGUCCGGAAUUAUUGGGCGUAAAGAGCUCGUAGGCGGUCUGUUGCGUCCGCUGUGAAAACCCAGGGCUUAACCCUGGGCUUGCAGUGGAUACGGGCAGACUAGAGGCAGGUAGGGGAGAAUGGAAUUCCCGGUGUAGCGGUGAAAUGCGCAGAUAUCAGGAAGAGCACCAAUGGCGAAGGCAGCUCUCUGGGACGGUACUGACGCUGAGACGCGAAAGCGUGGGGAGCGAACAGG